rnacentral:rRNA from 1 species
AUUGAACGCUGGCGGCAGGCCUAACACAUGCAAGUCGAGCGGAUGAAGGGAGCUUGCUCCUGGAUUCAGCGGCGGACGGGUGAGUAAUGCCUAGGAAUCUGCCUGGUAGUGGGGGAUAACGUCCGGAAACGGGCGCUAAUACCGCAUACGUCCUGAGGGAGCAAGUGGGGGAUCUUCGGACCUCACGCUAUCAGAUGAGCCUAGGUCGGAUUAGCUAGUUGGUGGGGUAAAGGCCUACCAAGGCGACGAUCCGUAACUGGUCUGAGAGGAUGAUCAGUCACACGGGAACUGAGACACGGUCCAGACUCCGACGGGAGGAAGCAGUGGGGAAUAUUGGACAAUGGGCGAAAGCCUGAUCCAGCCAUGCCGCGUGUGUGAAGAAGGUCUUCGGAUUGUAAAGCACUUUAAGUUGGGAGGAAGGGAAGUAAGUUAAUACCUUGCUGUUUUGACGUUACCAACAGAAUAAGCACCGGCCAACUUCGUG